rnacentral:antisense_RNA from 1 species
CCAACGACCAAAGCAAAGGACAGCAUAACUGAAUGACACAUUGCUCAGAAAAUAUCCAAAGCUCUGUACGCUCUGGAAAGGAAGGCAAGAAUUGCUAAAGACUCUGGAUAUUGCUCUGUUUCUAUAAGGUCCCACCCAUAUACCAUCUCUUCUUUUGGAUUUCCUUUGGCAGCUAUACUUGGCCCCAAGGUUCCAACCUCACAUUGAAGAAAGUGACAUAAGAAAACACAAGUCCCAGCGCUAUCAGGGGCUAUCUGGAAAAGCUGCUUAAACGGCAAGUGAAAGAAGGCUCUCCCCUACCCCGUUCUAGACGGAGUUUCACUCUUGUUGCCCAGACUGGAGUGCAAUGGCACAAUCUCGGCUCACGACAACCUCCACCUCUCAGGUUCAAGUGAUUCUCCUGCCUCAGCCUCGCAAGUAGCUGGGAUUACAGACUCACCCUGAAGUUAUUUGAAGGAUCCUUGAAACUCUUUUGGAUUGCUGCUUGGAGAACAUUCCUGUAACUUGUUCCUGCUCCUUGAACUAUAAAAGCAGAAGGGAAUUACUGAGUUAAAACUUAUAAAUUAUUAUCAAAUAAAUCUUCAACAG